rnacentral:rRNA from 1 species
UACGUAGGAGGCAAGCGUUGUCCGGAAUUACUGGGCGUAAAGCGUGCGCAGGCGGUUAUGUAAGACAGAUGUGAAAUGCCCGGGCUUAACCUGGGAACUGCAUUUGUGACUGCAUGGCUAGAGUUUGGCAGAGGGGGGUAGAAUUCCACGUGUAGCAGUGAAAUGCGUAGAUAUGUGGAGGAACACCGAUGGCGAAGGCAGCCCCCUGGGUCAAGACUGACGCUCAUGCACGAAAGCGUGGGGAGCAAACAGG